rnacentral:rRNA from 1 species
CAGCAGCCGCGGAAAUACGUAGGGUGCAAGCGUUAAUCGGAAUUACUGGGCGUAAAGCGUGCGCAGGCGGUUUUGUAAGUCUGUUGCGAAAGCCCCGGGCUCAACCUGGGAAUGGCAAUGGAUACUGGCGAGCUAGAGUGUGUCAGAGGAUGGUGGAAUUCCCGGUGUAGCGGUGAAAUGCGUAGAGAUCGGGAGGAACAUCAGUGGCGAAGGCGGCCAUCUGGGACAACACUGACGCUGAGGCACGAAAGCGUGGGGAGCAAACAGGAUUAGAUACCCGUGUAGUCCCUGUCUCUUAUAC